GCAACUGCCAUAAGACUGCUGAAGCGUCCGCCACCAAGGCGACCGCCAGCAGCCUAACUAAUGACAUGGAGGAGUGUGGCAUUGUCCAUGGAGGCUAGUCCCUGGUCCUCCUCAAGCUCCUGGGUGGAGAGUCGGGAAGGCACUACUUCAGCUUCUCUGAAGACUAACUUUCUGGGAUCCUUCUUUGUCUUUUAGCAAAAUCUCCUCAAAGAAGUCAGUAGCCCAGGUUUGGUCAACAUACGCCUGUCAAUGACAAAAGUAAACAUAAAAGAAGCAAUAAUCAAUCCACUAUAAUUGCAGCAUUGUUUUGCUCUUACUGAUGAUUGUUUCUCUUCUAGAAAAGGUAUGGGCUUCCUGACUAAUUUUACUGUAAAUUAAAUCAUUGCCCAGAAGGAUGUCUUUCUUCACCUUUUUUAAGGAAACAUUGCUUCCUGAUAUAUGUAGGUCCCUUGGGAGAGCAAGAGGAUGUCAUCAAUAAAGUGGUCAGAAACUUACAAAGGAAGCUUUUAAAUGGAAAAAGGAAACUAGAACCCUAUAGUGCCUUUCCAGUCUGCCCCUCUGCCCACAUAUGAAGUAUUCUACCUACUUUGUAAAGUACUUUUAGGGCCACACCUCAGUGUUCAGAAAUUGGACUGAAGUUGAGGUUAUGACCUCCAGCCUAAAGACAGCUCUGGUAGAGAAGAAAAGAAGAGAAAUGCAGUAAGAUUUAUUCCAAUCAGUCCGUUGUAUGCAUUCCCUCACUUCAGAUGCUUCUUGCAUGUUUUCGUUUCAGUGAACAGCCUAAUCAUUUCAACAAAUUGAAGUUUAAGAUGUAAUUUCAUUCAUUUACUGUAAGUAGGUUGAAGCCUGCUUCCUGUUAAGCAGCAAAAACCUAAGGUCUUAUUUCUAAAUUAAACCAAUGUUCCCAUGUAAACUUUUUUUUUGGUAACAGCAAAAUAUAAAGACCAAAUGAUUUGAGUAUGUAAAUACAUACACACAUUUUUUUUUUUACAUAUUUUCUCUCAGCUGUAUUGUAGUGCUUCUUUUCUAGCUCUAAAAGUUUAUAUAUCAAGGAAUAUUUCCUAUAUCCUUUGAGAAGACUAGAGACAAAAUGGAAACCUUGCAGAAUAAAGUUUGAGAGAAUAAAUUAUU